CAGGAAUCUGUUUUUAUUGCUGGAUGCUAGAAUCAGGAGAUGCUAAGAUUUAUUUGCAGAAAUGAUAUGUUUCCACUGUGCUGAUAGAAGUCUGGACCUUUUUUUCUCAAGGUCUCUUUUAGGCUCCUUCCAACUGCUACUACUUUCUUCCUCAGGGAGUCACUGCCCAACCUUGGUAUUGUAGGGUGACCAAGAGGACUACAGCGAGGCGCUCAUCAUUUUCCUGGGCCUGCCCUUGGGGGCUGGAGGGCACAGACGUCAGGAGUAGAAGGACUGGUGUGUGAAUCCCAGCUGAGUUCCUUAACAGCCAUGUGACCUCUGGUAAGUAAGUUAAUUCCAUAAGCCUGUUUUCCACUAUAAAUUGGGGUGCUCUUGACCUCCUAGAAUUAAUGUGAGGAAUAAAUGAUCCCUUGGCACUUGCUAUAGUGAGUAGGUGCUUACUAAGUAAUAAAGAUAUUUUCCUGUGCAAUGUUGUGAAUUAUGGAUUUCCCUUUAUGCCUUUAAAAAUUCCUUUAAAUAAAAAAAUCAAAAAAUAUAAA